UACGUAGGGGGCAAGCGUUGUCCGGAUUUAUUGGGCGUAAAGAACUCGUAGGCGGCUCGGUAAGUCGGAUGUGAAACCUCCAGGCUCAACCUGGAGACGCCAUCUGAUACUGCCGUGGCUUGAGUCCGGUAGAGGAGCAGGGAAUUCCUGGUGUAGCGGUGAAAUGCGUAGAUAUCGAGAGGAACACCUGCGGCGAAGGCGGGUUGCUGGGCUGAUACUGACGCUGAGGCGCGAAAGCUAGGGGAGCGAACGGG
rnacentral:rRNA from 1 species